CAUACAACACACUACACGGGAACGGUUCUUAUAAACUACACACACUACUGUGCUCGUUAACAUCUCCAUUUCUAAUGAGAGAGACCAAGUUUCUCGUAAAUCUAAAGUUUUUAACUAACGAAUAUAGUAACAGGUUUCCUCACUUGUGGUACGAGCUAAUCACCUGACGGCGAACUCUUCUUCGAACAGUAAACAGAGAAGCUCGGCGCCGCCUAUCCCCGGAAGCUUCUUGAACCCCAAACUGUAUCGGUAGCUCCUUCACGUCCUAUGUUUGGUUCACAUUAGUUUCUCCUAUACCUAAGUCAUGUCUGUACUCACUUCCUUACAAUGAGGUUAAACCUAGAACCUCUUACAAAAGAGUCACACCAAGUCCAAUUUAACAACAGGAUGACAAGGACGAGUUGGAGGAUUACAAGAUACAGAAGCGGCACGGAAGAAGGUUGAAGAGAUAACCAAAAGAGAAGUGUGGCUACAGAGACGCGGUAAACCGCGUUGCCCAGGUGAUCAA
rnacentral:rRNA from 1 species